rnacentral:lncRNA from 1 species
UGAGGAAUUUUAAGUUAAAAAUAUGUGAACUCAUCAGUUAAAAGUGAUCUUCCACGUGGACAAGUUGUGUUUUUGCUCAGUUUGUGUAUUUCUCAGUGUGUAUAGUUUAAUUAAUUAAAGUAAAAAAUGCCUCGUAAAAUUAGCAGAGAAACUCGUAGAACUUCCAGUGAACAGUUGUCUCGAAGAAAUAAACGGAAGAACGUUUUUAAUCCGAAAACCGUGGAAUAUGAUGAUAGCAGUUUGAUUAUGAGGCCUUACCACCUGAUGUUGCAACAGCUAUUUUUCCAAUUUACGAAGAUCUAAGUAACAAAAAAUUAUUGGAACGAUGCGUUGGUGGUUUUACCCAGAACAAUAAUGAAAGUUAUAAUCAGCUGAUAUGGAAAAUAACUCCAAAAAUUAUUCCAGCUGGCUCUAAAAUUGUGGAAAUAGCUGCAAACAUUGCAGCCGGGGUCUUUAAUGAAGAGGACGCAGAGCGCAUCUCAAUUUCGGACGCAAGAGCGCAAGGGUCGACGCGCGAGGGGAGAAUGGCUCGUAGACAACAACAACUAAACAUUUUGGAGGCAAACGACGAAGCAGAGGGUUCCUCUUAUGGUGCUGGAAUAGAUGACAAGAUGUAAUUUGAAAAAAAAAAUUUUUAAUUUAGUGUAAAUCAUUCCCGAAACUUUAAACGCGUUUAUCUCGAAACCGUGUUUUCAGAGUCGGUGAGGAAAAUUUCUCCGAAACCGCUAAACUGAUCGGUUUGAAAUUUUCACACAACUUACUCAGAUAUAUUUUUCAGGUAAUGAUCGAAGGAAUAAGGUUUUGGACAAUAAUUUCGAUUUUUUAAGCCACUUUGAAGUGAAAAAUUUUCAUAAAAAACUGAAUUUUUUUUUUGAACAGCCGCCAUUUUGUCAAAAAUCUAAAUUUUGACUAGUCCUUCGAUCAUUACCUGUAUUUAUUUAUUACAAAACUAAACAUUUUUGGUUUUUGGUUUUCAAAUAAUUUGGACCAGAGAUAUCUUGCUCACCGCCAAGCACUUUUUUUGGAGGUCUCUCCGCAGAUCAUCUACAGGAGCUAGGGGAUCCAAUAUUUUUUUAAAUAAACCGUUGAUUGUUAAAGUACAUUAAAUUCUGUUUAAGUACAUUUUUUUCAUUAAUGUAUAAAAUUAAAUGCCUCUUUGGAAAAAAUUCACAAAAAAACGCGUUUUUUCUGCCUCGCAAGUGGAUAUAACCCCUUAAUU